rnacentral:RNase_P_RNA from 1 species
GAAGCUGACCAGACAGUCGCCGCUUCGUCGUCGUCCUCUUCGGGGGAGACGGGCGGAGGGGAGGAAAGUCCGGGCUCCAUAGGGCAGGGUGCCAGGUAACGCCUGGGGGGGAAACCCACGACCAGUGCAACAGAGAGUAAACCGCCGAUGGCCCACGCAAGUGGGAUCAGGUAAGGGUGAAAGGGUGCGGUAAGAGCGCACCGCGCGGCUGGUAACAGUCCGUGGCACGGUAAACUCCACCCGGAGCAAGGCCAAAUAGGGGUUCACAAGGUACGGCCCGUACUGAACCCGGGUAGGCUGCUUGAGCCAGUGAGCGAUUGCUGGCCUAGAUGAAUGACUGUCCACGACAGAACCCGGCUUAUCGGUCAGCUUCACCU